rnacentral:tRNA from 1 species
GGCGCUCGGUGGCGCGGCGGCGCGGCAGGUUCUUGUACUGCGCGAUGAUCAGUUCGUUCUUCAUCGAGUGCUCCCA